AAGGCUUUAAGUUAAUUAAACUAAUAGCCUUCAAAGCUGUAAAUAAAGAAAUUCUUUAAGCCUUA
rnacentral:tRNA from 4 species